rnacentral:rRNA from 1 species
AGUGAACGCUGGCGGUAGGCCUAACACAUGCAAGUCGAACGGCAGCACAGUAAGAGCUUGCUCUUACGGGUGGCGAGUGGCGGACGGGUGAGGAAUACAUCGGAAUCUACUUUUUCGUGGGGGAUAACGUAGGGAAACUUACGCUAAUACCGCAUACGACCUACGGGUGAAAGCAGGGGAUCUUCGGACCUUGCGCGAUUGAAUGAGCCGAUGUCGGAUUAGCUAGUUGGCGGGGUAAAGGCCCACCAAGGCGACGAUCCGUAGCUGGUCUGAGAGGAUGAUCAGCGACACUGGAGCUGGGACACGGUCCAGACUCCUACGGGAGGGAGCAGUGGGGAAUAUGGGACAGUGGGCGCAAGCCUGGUCCAGCCAUACCGCGUGGGUGAAGAAGGCCUUCGGGUUGUAAAGCCCUUUUGUUGGGAAAGAAAAGCAGCAGGUUAAGACCCCGCUGUUCUGACGGUACCCAAAGAAUAAGCACCGGCUAACUUCGUG